GUAGGUUUAGCACCUUGGGCCUAGUUUGAGCUUCACCAGCUAAGAUCCCACAGAGCUCUACCAAAGACUCGGUCUAACUCAAAGCUGAAGAAGUGAAUUUGUGUCUUGACAUGAGGCCUCAGUAAAUGUGUCGUCUUUGACUGCAAGCAAAUCAAUUGAGCUUCAUCGAGUUUUGUUCUGUUUUACAGCUCAGGGACGAUGAUGCCUCUCACACCAACAGCACUGCAGAUAAUCAGGAGUCUGAGGAAGAUCCAAAGUGACUCUAAUGACAUAGAAAACACUGUUAGAACCAUCAGAGACCUCAGCCUGCACAAGUCUGCACAUAGAGCCACACAACGCUCUACUGUUUACUACCAACCACUUCAGGUCACAUAUUGUAUACAGGCCAGUCAUACCUCCACACUCAGGUUUGUUUACAAUAAAAGUACUUUAGUGUGUGUUUUACAUUAUAUUGUUUUCCCUGUGUAACAUUCCCUUCAGGCUCCUGAUCAUUCCAGCAUACCGAUGGAGAUACAGUAGUGAUUGUUGAUUGUCUAUUCGCUCUGUAUUUUCUCUGCCAGUUUUUUCUACUUUUUCUGAUGAAUUUUGGGCUUAAAGUCUUAAUAGCAUUUGAAUUUAUAACGUGGACUCUUUUUAUAUUCUUAUAAUGUAUUGCAUGCAUUGAGAGUGCGGUGGUGGGGCCACAGGGGGGGGUUUGUAAUUGUGACUACAAUAAAGAAACGCUUUGUCUUUGUACUCAUCACAUUGAGAAAUGACUAAGUUUUCAUUAUUUUCC
ensembl:lncRNA